rnacentral:rRNA from 1 species
AUUGAACGCUGGCGGCAGGCCUAACACAUGCAAGUCGAGCGGAUGAAGGGAGCUUGCUCCUGGAUUCAGCGGCGGACGGGUGAGUAAUGCCUAGGAAUCUGCCUGGUAGUGGGGGAUAACGUCCGGAAACGGGCGCUAAUACCGCAUACGUCCUGAUGGAGAAAGUGGGGGAUCUUCGGACCUCACGCUAUCAGAUGAGCCUAGGUCGGAUUAGCUAGUUGGUGGGGUAAAGGCCUACCAAGGCGACGAUCCGUAACUGGUCUGAGAGGAUGAUCAGUCACACUGGAACUGAGACACGGUCCAGACUCCUACGGGAGGCAGCAGUAGGGAAUAUUGCACAAUGGGCGAAAGCCUGAUCCAGCCAUGCCGCGUGUGUGAAGAAGGUCUUCGGAUUGUAAAGCACUUUAAGUUGGGAGGAAGAGCAGUAAGUGAAUACCUGGCUGUUUUGACGGUACCAACAGAAUAAGCACCGGCUAACUUCGUG